rnacentral:lncRNA from 1 species
CGAGCCGUACGCUAAGAUCAUCGCCACGUACAGCGGAAUCACCGCCGACAUCACCGUGUAGAAAUCUCCCCAGGUUAUCAUUUUCCCCUUUCUCUUAAUUUCUCAAAAAAAAAAAUGGAAAAAGCUUUGCUAACUUCCUAGUUGGAUGGCAUAAGAGAGAAAAUGAAGAGCAUAAACAAGGGUAAAUUGGGAAGAAAAUGAGAAAAUAUGUAAACGAGAAAACCGUUACUUAACUAACUGGUCUGAGAAGGGAUAUAUGUCUCUCUGCAAAGGUUUAUACACUGCAGUGUUUCUGAAUUUGCUGAUGAAGUGUUAAGAGAGAGAGAGAGAGAGAGAGAGAGAGAGAGAGGGAAUCUUUGGAAGGCAAGGGUUUAGUUUAGUUUUAGCUUAGGCUGUACAUAUAUAGACCUAGGGGAAUAGGGUCAUAUAUAGAAGGAGAAGAGGUGGAUAUAUAUGUAUAAAACUAUCUAUUUUACCUAUUUAUAUACUCAUGGUGAGAAAAAAGGACUAUAAUUAUAUGAUUAGUUUUAUGAUAAUAUGCAGAUGAGCUUUUUUUCUCUCUUUUUUAUUGUUUUCUUUUAUUUGAGUGUCAAUGAAAAAGGGGAAAGAGGUGAAUGAGUUUAGGGGGAUUGGGGGGGACCACUAGGGAACAGUGUGAAGUUAGGUUAGGAAGUGACCGCUUGCUGUGGUUAAGUUAACUCAACAUGGGUUAAGCUAAAGGUAAAGUUGCAAUAGAGUGAUGGACCAUGUGGUGGGGAAGAAUGCGUAUGGAUUUUCGGUGACGUGGGAGCUCUAAUGCUUCUUUUUUCCCUUUCCGUUUUUUUUCUUUUCUUUUUUCACUUUUCACUCUUCUUUCCUUUUCGUUUCUCAAAUUUCCUUUUCUCAAAGUUGAAAAGCUUACAGCAUUUGAAGAGGGGAGCUCCCGAUAAAUUAUUGGAUUUGAUUGCAGAUUUUGUGUAGAGUCAAUCGUGAGAGUAAUAGUUGGAGCUUUUUUUACUGAUGCUUUCAGAAUGAUUUACCCUACAGGAGAUUAUUGAUCACAAAGUCAACCAGGAGACUAAAACUAGUAUUAGUAAUGCCAAAUUAUUGUUCGAGGAACAAAUGUGAACAGAAAAUAAAUAAAAAAAUAACUUAAUUACGUGAAAGAAAUUAAUGCUAACAAAUAACCAAACUUUUAAGAUCUGAACAAACUUUUUACUCUAACAAAUAUCUCACUGAAAACUUCAAUUGGGUCUCAAAUGAAUUAAUAACUAAAAUUUAACAUUCAAAAAUAUCUUUUAUGACACUUUUAUGCAACAUAAACGCUCAAAAUCUUUUCUAUAUUUAUGGACAACUUAUGAGAAUUGGAGGUAAUUAGGUCUUCUUAUCACCUGACAAUAGAGAUAGAUCUUGGCACAUUCUCACUAUUUGUAAAUUCAGUCUAACAUUCACGUAAAUAUGUUUUACAUGUAUGUAAGUAUUUCAAAAAUAUUAUCACAUUUUUUUAUAUACAUCACAUUUAAUUUGUGUCUUAUUCGUUGGGGAACUCGCUUUUAAUUUUUUUUUUACUUUUAUUAACUAUAACAUUGUUGUCCUUCAUUUUUUGAUAAAUUUACCCUCCAAUUAAUACCUCUAGAGAGCAUUUUUAUUCUCUUAAAUUUCAUUUAUAAAGUUUUCUUUAUCCUAAACAAGGAUGAUUUUAUUUGAAAAAUCUCUAAUGGUCAUGCUAUAUUGUCUUUCUUUAGUGUUGUCUUUCUUUAGUGUUAAAGUUGAUAGUAAUUGGUUUCUUCUCACAAAUAGGACAUAUUUUAUGUUUUGUAUGUUGUAUCUAAUCAAGUUUACAAUGUAAAUUAAUUUAUGUUAACUUAGUUUUUGGUUCUCUAAUAUAUUAUUUAGGUUUUAUUUUGUCCUCUAAUUCUUUUUUUAUUCAAUUUGAUCCUUUAAUUUUUAAAAUCGAUUCAAUUUGGUCUUCUAGUUUUUUUUAUUCAAUUUGGUUCUCUAAUUUUUAAUAUCGAUUCAUUUUUUUUAAAUGUGCAUUUUUUUGGUUGUUUAAAACCACUUAGUGGAGGUUUUGAAUCACUACAAAGUGUGAUUUCUUUUUAUUUAAACUGAAUGACCAAAUUGAAUCGAUUUAAAAAUUUAGAGGAUCAAAUUGAACUCAAAGAAAACUAGAUGAUCAAAUAAAAUCUAAAAAAUAAAUUAAAGUACUAAAAAUCUAAUUUAACCAUUAAUUUAUAGUACAAAGGAUCAUAACGGAAAUCUUAAAUGAAUCCUGAUUAACACAUCAAUAACAUACUUCCAUAAUAUUUUCAUGUCAUUAACUAAAAGUUUGUAGGUAAAAUCUAUCAUUUUGAGGUUGUUUUGGACCUAAAAUCAUCAUAGCUAGACAACAUCAUAUACUUGUGUUUCAUGGUAAAGAUCCAUGCAUGCUAUAAUAUUCAAUUUUAAGGCUCAUUAUGUGCAUACUUAUACUUUAACCUUGACUUGUCUCAAUAUUGCUUAAUUUUUUUAGUGAAUACUCAAUGCUGCUUAAUGUUAUAGGUGCAUAUGUAGAAGUACUUAUUGUCCAAGAAAAUAGAAGGGAGGGAGGGGAGAAGAUGAAGAACUUGGUUGAGUCUAUAUGAAAACAUCACAUGUUAUCUCUUACUAAUACUCUCAAUUUAGGCAAGAAUUAUAACACCUCAUUUUUCAUAAAAUAAAUUAAAAAGGUUUUUUUAGUUAAAAACAAAUAGUUUUAUAAAAAUGGUGAGGUUUUUAUAAUUAAAUAAAUAAGGAGAAAUAACUUUAUUAAAAUAAUGGUUUGAAGGAAAAUCAAAAAAAGGAUAUUUGAUUUAUUCAUUUGAUAGGAAAUAAAAUAGAGUAUUUCUUUAUAAAAUAAUAAAUAAAGAAAAAUAGAGUAAAUAAUAAAUUGAAGGUACCCUAACUAUAAGUAGAGACAUGUUAGGUCAGUUUUCAGACUGACGAUAAUCUCUGCAGUUCCUCUUCUUUUCAAUUUCUUUUUCCCUUCUCCUCCUCCCAAAACCCUAUAUUUUUCUCGCAUACACUCAAAUUUAUCUCAGUAAAACGAAGAUCUCAGACUCGUUAAUCGUUGGAUCAUCAUGAAAUUUGAGCAUCAGGCUCGGAACUCAUUUCCAAACAUUCUUAUCAUUGUAAUUUGCAAAACAAUGUUGGAGGUGAGAGAAAUUCCCUUCGUAUUGUAGCUUUCUCUUUUCCCGCUUAGAUCCAAAACUGGUCCUAGUAAAAUUACGAUCUCGGAUUUGUUAACCAUUGGAUGUGAAAUUUUGACACCACCUUUGGAAUCCCUUUCCACACAUCUCUACCGUUGGGAUUUGCGAAAUAAUUUCCACAAAGAGAGAAACGUCCCUCGCACGUUCACAGUAAAAUGAAGGUUACAAUCUUUUCUCCUUUUCUCUAACGCUUGAAAACCCUAACAGAGCAAACAGAGAAAAAGCUUGAGGAAUCUUAGGGAACUGCUAGGGAUGCAAUUAUCAUUGUCGGACUACACACGUGAGUCCACUUAGAGGUAAGGGAUGAGCACAAUUGGGGUUAGAAUGAACAUGUGUAGGGAUCCUUAGAGAAAUAAUUGGGUUUACUUUGGAAUGUUUAUUAAAUUAUAAUUUUUCCUUUAUGACUAUAAAUAUGAUAUUGUUGUGUUUCACGAACCAAUUGAUGUCCUGAUACGAAUUGGUUGAUAAAUUGAGUGUUCUUGGUAUUUUCGUAUUUUUUUACCUAUGAUUUUGAUAUGAUUAUGUGAAAUUGUUUGAGGGGUUUUACUCCCCAUGUUGUGAGAAAUAUUUUUGUAUAAAUUUUUUGUAUUUUGGAUAAGAUUCACUAGGUGAGCACGAUAAAUUAUAUUGUUGAGAUCAUGAAAUUGUGAUUAAAAUUGUGUGUAAAUGAUAAAUUGAAUGUGAUGAAUUAUGGGAUAAUAUGUUACUUUGAUAUUAUAAUAUUGUUAUUGAGAUUGAGUAUAAAUGUAAAGUUGAACAUUUGUUAAUUUGUGAGAUAUACGUAAAUAUGUGAUGGUGGAUUGUGACAUUAUGAGAUGUUAAAUUAUGGACAUGAGAUUUGAUUGUGAAUAAGUGUGUGAUUAAUAUUUGAUGUGACAAUUCUUUAUGUUGUGAGCUGUGAAUUAUACAAUAAUCCGACUGGUGUUUAUCUUGAGAAAAGUGUUUAUGCACAGUGUUAAAGGAAAAUUGUAGGUUUCCUAGUUAGGAACCAGUGUUAAAUUGUAGCGCAAUGUGUUAAACGUGAUUGAAACACGAGUGUGAGAUCAUGGGUAUUGUAUAAUUCACGAGCAGUGUCUGCGUACAAAAAAUUGUUUUAGGGGUUGGACUUGAAUCAGGAAGAUGAGGCCCUGACGGAUUCUUUAGAGUCUAGGCCUUGGGAGUAAAGACACUCGAUUUGAGUGCUCCUUUAAGCCUACGUUGAUCCCAUAUGGUUGGAGCAUUCUCGUAAAAUAAAGUGACUCUGAUUGGUCACCUUGUGAUUUUACUUAGUGAGAGUGACCCGACAUACCCAUUAUGUGGUGUUGUCUUGUUAUGUACUCCCAAGCGCCUCAGGGUGGUUUUUUACUAACAUGAUACCACAUUGCAUAUAGGCUUGAGUCUUAGUAUAAUUGUUGCAUGAUGCUUGCUAAUUGUUUAUUAUGAAAUUGAUGGGUGUUAUUAUGUCUUGACUUGAGUGUGUGAUUCAUGUGUAAUGUGAUGGACGAUUGAAAAAUGAAUUUUAAAUGAUAAAGUGAUGAAGUGACGUGAAUUGUAUUAAAUUGAGCUAUGUUAUAAAUACUUCUAUAAUUUAUUUGGAUUUCGUCUUUGUUUAUUUUGUAUUUUUUUUUUGAAAUGUGAUAACUCACUCCUUGUGUGCUCUUUGUGUUUGGAUCCUGUGAUGAUCUCGAAUCUUGUGUUCGUGGAAGUAGAUGACUAGGUGGAUGACUUUAAAGAACCUCGUGCUAGAGGAUGUUGGGACACAAUACUCUGAUAGGAUGUGACAUUGGGGAUGAGUUUUUAUCUUAAUCCCAUGAUGUUAUUUUAUUUUAUUUUACCUCACUCAUUUAACAAAAUUCUUUUGUAAACUUUGACAGUCUUGCUCCAAGCCGAAUGUGUAUUUUUAUAAGUUUUAUCUGACAAUAUUAAAGCGAAUGUGAGC